UACGCACUCCGUACGGGAGGCAGCAGUGGGGAAUAUUGCACAAUGGGCGCAAGCCUGAUGCAGCCAUGCCGCGUGUAUGAAGAAGGCCUUCGGGUUGUAAAGUACUUUCAGCAGUGAGGAAGGUGGGUAUGUUAAUAGCAUAUUCAUUUGACGUUAGCUGCAGAAGAAGCACCGGCUAACUCCGUGCCAGCAGCCGCGGUAAUACGGAGGGUGCGAGCGUUAAUCGGAAUUACUGGGCGUAAAGCGCAUGCAGGUGGUUUGUUAAGUCAGAUGUGAAAGCCCGGGGCUCAACCUCGGAAUUGCAUUUGAAACUGGCAAACUAGAGUACUGUAGAGGGGGUAGAAUUUCAGGUGUAGCGGUGAAAUGCGUAGAGAUCUGAAGGAAUACCGGUGGCGAAGGCGGCCCCCUGGACAGAUACUGACACUCAGAUGCGAAAGCGUGGGGAGCAAACAGGAUUAGAUACCCUGGUAG
rnacentral:rRNA from 1 species